rnacentral:rRNA from 1 species
CCUACGGGGGGCAGCAGUGAGGAAUAUUGGUCAAUGGACGAGAGUCUGAACCAGCCAAGUAGCGUGAAGGAUGACUGCCCUAUGGGUUGUAAACUUCUUUUAUAUGGGAAUAAAAUGUUCCACGUGUGGGAUUUUGUAUGUACCAUAUGUAUAAGGAUCGGCUAACUCCGGGCCAGCAGCCGCGGUAAUACGGAGGAUCCGAGCGUUAUCCGGAUUUAUUGGGUUUAAAGGGAGCGUAGGUGGAUUGUUAAGUCAGUGGUGAAAGUGUGCGGCUCAACCGUAAAAUUACAGUUGUAACUGGCAGUCUUGAGUACAGUAGAGGUGAGCGGAAUUCGUGGUGUAGCGGUGGAAUGCUUAGAUAUCACGAAGAACACCGAGUGCGAAGGCAGUUCACUGGACUGCAACUGACACUGAGGCUCGAAAGUGUGGGUAUCAAACAGGAUUAGAUACCCGAGUAGUC